GACGAACGCUGGCGGCGUGCUUAACACAUGCAAGUCGAACGGAAAGGCGCUGCUUUUGUUGGGUGCUCGAGUGGCGAACGGGUGAGUAACACGUGAGUAACCUGCCCUUGACUUUGGGAUAACUUCAGGAAACUGGGGCUAAUACCGGAUAGGAUCUCCUGCUGCAUGGUGGUGGUUGGAAAGUUUCGGCGGUGGGGGAUGGACUCGCGGGUUAUCAGCUUGUUGGUGUGGUAGUGGCUUACCAAGGCUUUGACGGGUAGCCGGCCUGAGAGGGUUACCGGCCACAUUGGGACUGAGAUACGGAGCAGACUGCUACGGGAGGCAGCAGUGGGGAAUCUUGCACAGUGGGGGGAAGUCUGAUGCAGCAACGCCGCGUGCGGGAUGACGGCCUUCGGGUUGUAAACAGAUUUCGCAUGUGACGAAGCGUGCGUGACGGUAAUGGGUCAAGAAGCACCGGCUAACUACGUG
rnacentral:rRNA from 1 species